rnacentral:tRNA from 1 species
GCCGAGGUGGCAGAGCGGACCAAUCCAACGGAGUAAAUGCCUAGGAGUCUAUAUGCGAUCGGCUCGAGACCGGUUGCCCCUGAAGGGGUGCUUGGGUUCGAAUCCCAACCUCGGCG